rnacentral:rRNA from 1 species
AGUGAACGCUGGCGGUAGGCCUAACACAUGCAAGUCGAACGGGAGCACAGUAAGAGCUUGCUCUUACGGGUGGCGAGUGGCGGACGGGUGAGGAAUACAUAGGAAUCUACUUUUUCGUGGGGGAUAACGGAGGGAAACUGACGCUAAUACCGCAUACGACCUACGGGUGAAAGCAGGGGAGCUUCGGACCUUGCGCGAUAGAAUGAGCCGAUGUCGGAUUAGCUAGUUGGCGGGGUAACGGCCCACCAAGGCGACGAUCCGUAGCUGGUCUGAGAGGAUGAUCAGCCACACUGGAACUGAGACACGGUCCAGACUCCUACGGGAGGCAGCAGUGGGGAAUCUUCGCCAAUGGGCGCAAGCCUGAUCCAGCCAUACCGCGUGGGUGAUGAAGGCCUUCGGGUUGUAAAGCCCUUUUGUUGGGGAAGAAAAGCAGCAGGUUAAUCCCCCCCUGUUCUGACGGUACCCAAAGAAUAAGCCCCGGCUAACUUCGUG